rnacentral:rRNA from 1 species
CCUACGGGAGGCAGCAGUAGGGAAUCUUCCACAAUGGACGAAAGUCUGAUGGAGCAACGCCGCGUGAAUGAAGAAGGUUUUCGGCUCGUAAAGCUCUGUUGGUAGUGAAGAAAGAUAGAGGUAGUAACUGGUCUUUAUUUGACGGUAAUUUCUUAGAAAGUCACGGCUAACUACGUGCCAGCAGCCGCGGUAAUACGUAGGUGGCAAGCGUUGUCCGGAUUUAUUGGGCGUAAAGCGAUUGUAGGCGGUUCAAUAAGUCUGAUGUGAAAGCCUUCGGCUCAACCGGAGAAUUGCAUCAGAAACUGUUGAACUUGAGUUAAAAAGAGGAAAGUGGAAUUCCAUGUGCAGCGGUGGAAUGCGUAGAUAUAUGGAAGAACACCAGUGGCGAAGGCGGCUCUCUGGUCUGAAACUGACGCUGAGGCUCGAAAGCAUGGGUAGCGAACAGGAUUAGAUACCCGGGUAGUC